GUUUUGGGAAUAAUAUAUUAUGCGCACAUGUUAUGAGAGAAAAAAAAUGUACAUAAAUAUAUGUAGCUGGAACAUCCAGUAACCAGAUAGAAAAUAAAACAAACAGGUGAAGAAAAGAUGCUCCAAUCCCAGACAAAUGUCCGAAAAAGAAAACGACAUACCAGUGAAGUUGACCAUGGAGUGAGAGAUUGUCCGAAUAUUGAUAUGGAUGAAGAACUAAAGAACAAUGCACAACAAGUCGGGAGAUUGUGUCGUUUAAUAGGAGAUGAAAUGAAUGAAACUUACGCCUUCAUGAAAAAUGUCCGUAUGCUUGUUAUUCCGCCAGACUUUCUGUCCGAUAUUUGCACUGUCUCCAUAAAAAUCAUGGCUAUAGUGUAUCGGAUAAGUUUGUUCAUGUACUAAAGAUGUACAUUUCCUCAUGUUUCGACUUUUAUGAGGAAAUCGCUAUAACGAACUUCAGGGAGAUUUUCCGAUAAUUUAAAAUUCACGGACCAGAGAGAGAAAUACAAACAAUAACGAGAUAAAUAUUAACACUCUGUGUGUCAUAUUGCUGAACAGCGGACAGCUAGAGACGAUAAUAAGUCCGAUGUUAUCAAACGAAUAAAUAAUGAUGACGAUUUUCAAGAAAGGAAAAAAUUAAGUGAGAUGAAAGAUUUUUCUGGAACUUGUAGGAUGAGUCACAGCACGGUCCCCCAUUGAUUUUUACCUUUUUUCCAACAGGAAGCAUGCAUUUGGUCUAUUUACAGGGGCUUACGUAACUCCAGUAAGUUUAUGCGAUAUGGACAGGUCGGGAAAAAUCGCGGAGACGAUUCCAUGUUGCAGUGAAAUUAGCGCGUUGGAUACACUGUUGCUAAGGGGUAGCUAACAAUGCCAGCAAAGCUGUGCUCUAUCCCUCAUUGUUGCUUUAUAAAAGCAUUACGUCUUGUAUAUGUUUGCUUAUAUACAUCAAUAAUAUAUUUUGUUCUGAUUUUAUGACAUUCAUUGUAAAUAUUUAUCAAAUCAUUGACAUGACUUUAAUUAAAGCCAGUUUGUCAUUUUGUACAUGCAUAGUCAUUUUUAAGUUUUAAUCGAUGAUCUUCGACAGUCAUGUCUUAGUGAAUAUAUCCUGACUUUUUUGAAGAUUUCCCAUUGAUCUCAAGUUCGGAAAUACCGGUAAAACUGUGUGUAAAUCAGAUAUUUGAUUUUAAUUGUAAUAACAUUUUCUACUAUUUUUGUAUAUGUGAUGGAGUACUUAUUGAUGGUGUCUGUAUUAUGUUACAUUGUGCUAAGCAUUGUCUCUAAUAAAGAUAUGUGUUUCCAUGUACAUUCAUAACAUUUGUAUUUUUCCCAAUUGCCAUGGCCAUUUUGACGACUAAAUGUUUUACGCCGUGAUUCUUUGCAAAAUUAUCAAUGCUUAAAUGUCAUUCAAACUUUUUUUGUGUGGUUAUUGAAUUCUUUUUAUAAAUACUUUAUGAGGCUUGAUGCUAUUAUGAAUACAGUAAAAUGGAAUGACGCAAGACUUAAACGAAGUAUUGUCAUGACUUUUACAAUCAGCUAUAUAUAGGUAAAGCGUAUUGAAAUUGAAACUACUAUUAUGAAAACAUUUAAAGAAACUUAAGUAUUUUUACUUCCUUCCAUGUUUAAUUUUGGAUAACAUAAUUUUUAUAUUUAAAUGUAUACAUGAAAAAUUAUAUAGAAGCAAUAGAAUUUUAAAUUCGUCAAUACACAAUACGCAUAAUUCAUUCCAAGUACACUCAGAUCUCACCCCCCCCCCCUUCCACCCCCGUCAUGACAGAAUUUGGUGCAGAAAGACAGGGUCAAAGACAGUAUUUAUAUCGAGAGACAUAUUUUGUUUAAUUUUCUUUUAUUUUGAGAUUUUACCAAUUUUGUACUAUUGUCUAUAUAAAUAUUGAUUAAAUGAUGAUUAACUUG